UGGGGCUCGUUUUAUGUAGUGGAACACACAUUCGCCAGUGCGGUAUGUGUACUCUGCACUCGAAAGUUCCCGACGAACCGACGUCACUUCUCAAAAAAUAAAAAUAAAAUAAAACAGAGAUGAUAAAAAUAAAGAAGGAAAAAUACAUUAUUCUCCACUCGAGUAUCUCUACAGCCUUUGGUUGUACAUGACUGUAUGUACAGAGGCGUAGGCGAGAUUGUGUACAUAGUGACUGGGAUUGGUGAUCCUACUACAUUGCCAAUGAGGCUGGUACACUAGGUCAAUAAUGUGGACAUUGCCCGGCGAAAUUAUUUCAGGGGUUUAUGUGCAUUUCAUUACAAAUGCUGAUCAAAGAACAUUGAUUUUCGUAUUUUCUGAUGGAGACCCAUGAUAUUCACUUGAUAAAAUGGAAUUCAUUUUUUUGGACUACAAAUACUUGGCUGAAGACCUUCGGACGAUGGCAUGUUGCAAAUUUUUGUGGUAGCCAAAAAUACGAGCUCCGGGGCAGAUAGUCCAGCGACCGAGUCCAAAAGAAGCCACGAAGUUAAACGAUUAACCGAGAGCACUCAACCCCUUGUGUUGAAGGAAUUACAACGAAAUAUUCUAGUCGAGACGGUUGGUGAACGCCAAGAACCGAGACGAUAUGACAAUUUGUCUCUCUCGUUCUUCCACGAGUGUCUCGUGACUUCUCCACGAACGAGGAUUAUCUCUGUCCCUAUUGGAGGGAAGAAAAAAGAGACCCCCGCAUGCCUCGGAUCUUCCGUUAAAGACGCCUCAAAUUAGUCGGAUCGUUUGAAAUCCCUCUCUUCAAGGUUAUGGAAUUCCUUUUAACGUUAUUUCUAUCUGUCUUUUAAAUGGA